GGAUUAGAUACCCUGUUAUUAAUGGGUUAAAUAUUGUGAGUAAGUGAAUUAAUGGAAACAAAAAAAUAUGGCGGUACUUUAAGCUUAUCAGAGGAAUUUGCUCUGUAAUGGAUAAAACACCUGAAUCUUACUAAAGUUAGUUAAAUCAGCUUGUAUACCACUAUAAGAGUAAUAAUUUAUUAUUAUUUCUAUAAUUUUUUCAUAAAAAAAUAAAUUAAGUCAUGGUGCAGCAAAAAUUUUAGAAUGAAGUGAAUUACAUUUCUUUUAAGAAUAAAAAAUUGAAAAAUUAUAUUAGGAUUUGAAAGUAAAUAAAUAAUAACAUGAUUUAUUGAAUUUAGCUCUAAAGUAUGUACACAUCGCCCGU
rnacentral:rRNA from 1 species